CCAUGGGGAUACAGCGUUAUAUCGUUAGAGAGUUUAAUCGACAACGAUGUUUGCGACCUCGAUGUUGAAUUGCGGCACCCUGGGGUGCAGCCGCCCCCAAGGGUUGGUCUGUUCGUCCAUUAAAGCCGUACAUGAUUUGAGUUAAAAACGUGGCAACACAGUUUGGUUUCUAUCUACAAUAUGAAGAAACAUCGAUAGAACUAUCUUCUAGUACGAAAGGACCGAAGAAUUAGCGAUCCUCUUAUUUUGUAAGUUACGAUCGAACCCAAGUUAAUCACUGAUUGCUUCUUAAGUGUGAAAAGUUUAUCGAAUUGUUUUAAACAUACGUUUAAAAAUAAGUAAAUGAAAUCUACUGUUUAUCACCCCUAUCAUUUAGUAGAUCCUAGCCCU
rnacentral:ncRNA from 1 species